UUCCCUGUUCCAGCAGCACUUGCCAUGGGCACCAAGUAAUCUGUACUCUGCAGCCUCAAGCCAAGCACAGAGGAAUCAGGGGUUGAAAUAUUUGAGGAAACAUAUGGGAUAUGAGUUUGGAACUGUUAAAACCAGCACUUGCAGAAUUCAAAAUACUGAUAUUCAUUGGCCCCAGAUUCUGCAAACUUGGUAACAAAGGCUCCUACAGGGGAUGAGGGGUAACGAUCAGCAAUCCAGGCAGCCAUGCACACAACACAACAGUCAUUGAGAAUGAAGGAUUGGUCCUUUCAUGAAGAUAUUAUGCCUUCCCUUGCAGAGGGAGCCCUGCAUUCUGUGCCGUGCCUGUCACAAUAGCCUCGAACUUGAGGAGAGGGAGCUGCAGAGUUGUGGUGUUGCCCUGCAAAGGUCACAGCUGU